rnacentral:rRNA from 1 species
CCUACGGGAGGCAGCAGUGGGGAAUAUUGCACAAUGGGGGGAACCUUGAUGCAGCAACGCCGCGUGGGUGAAGAAGUACUCCGGUAUGUAAAGCCCUGUUAGCAGGGAAGAAAAUGACGGUACCUGACCAAGAAGCCCCGGCUAACUACGUGCCAGCAGCCGCGGUAAUACGUAGGGGGCAAGCGUUAUCCGGAUUUACUGGGUGUAAAGGGAGCGUAGGCGGCAAGGCAAGUCUGGAGUGAAAGCCCGUGGCUCAACCACGGGACUGCUUUGGAAACUGUGUUGCUGGAGUGCAGGAGGGGUAGGCGGAAUGCCUGGUGUAGCGGUGAAAUGCGUAGAUAUUAGGAGGAACACCGGUGGCGAAGGCGGCUUACUGGACUGUAACUGACGUUGAGGCUCGAAGGCGUGGGGAGCAAACAGGAUUAGAUACCCGAGUAGUC